rnacentral:rRNA from 1 species
CACGCCGUAAACGAUGCCUACUAGAUUGUGGCGGUUCUGACGCCGGCACAGUCGAAGCCAAAGUGUUAAGUAGGCCGCCUGGGGAGUACGGUCGCAAGGCUAAAACUCAAAGGAAUUGACGGGGGCUCACACAAGCGGUGGAGCAUGUGGAUUAAUUCGAAGCAACGCGCAGAACCUUACCUAGGUUUGACAUGCUUGGAUGCUUGCCUGGAAACAGGUUAAGCUGCUCUUCGGAGUGAAACUUGCACAGGUGC